GGCGUACGUGGAGCUGGGCGUGGAGUCCAGGCUGCAGCCGAGGGAGCCGAGUAGGGCAAAGUUAGGAGUCGCUGUUUGGAUGGCAAGUUCAGAAGUUGGAACUUGUCUCAGUUUCCCCGCUCCAGAAAUGGGGUUGGGAUCUAAAGACAGGGGUAUGAGUGAAGAAAACACAGAGCCACCCUGGAAAGCAAAGAGGGAGUGGGGAGAUCUGAGAAUCGAUACUGAACAGCUUCAGUACUACGAUGCCAUAAUGGGGCUGGGAGCUCAGCCAAAAGCCCCCCGCCCAGUUUUGUUUUUUAGAGGUGGUCCUAGAAUCUCUGGAGAAACAACAUGGAAAUGGAGACCAAAAGAGGGAAGGAGGGAUGCCACCAGAUGACUCUGGGAUCCCGGAAAAUGGAACACUGUGUGCAACGGGCAAAGAAUUUUUCAAAAGGGAUUUCAACCUCUGACCACCUGGAGACAGGAGACUGGCGCUCAUUGUAAAUGCACUGACAUGACAGGGAACAGCUGCUGGGGAGGUGGAGACGGGUCGUGGGGAGAGACAGGAAGCCCCAGCGGCUUGGAAAUCCAGGAGCCAAGGAAGCAGUGAGCUUUCUGCAGAGCCAGAUCCGGUGGAGCCAAUUCACCAGCAGGUCCCGGCAGUGACUCUUCUACAACAGAUUCCUGCCCGUCCCUGUGCCCCAUCGUCCCCCUGCCACCAAUCUCUACCCCAUGGGAGCCAGACCAAGCCUUUCUGUGUGUAGCACACAUCUCUCCUGCUUAGAGCUCACUUACUGGCUUCCGUGGCAUUUUGUUUCUUUUUUAGAGAUGGGGUCUUGCCCUGUCACCCAGGCUGGGGUACGGUGGCAUGAUCAUGGCUCACUGUAGCUCACUCCUGGGCUCAAGUGAUCCUCCUGCCUCA